UACGGGAGGCAGCGAGGGGGAAUAUUGCACAAUGGGCGAAAGCCUGAUGCAGCUAUGCCGCGUGUAUGAAGAAGGCCUUAGGGUUGUAAAGUACUUUCAUCGGGGAGGAAAAACAAAACUAAUAAUUUUAUUUCUUGACGUUACCCGAAAAAGAAGCACCGGCUAACUCCGUGCCAGCAGCCGCGGUAAUACGGAGGGUGCUAGCGUUAAUCAGAAUUACUGGGCGUAAAGAGCACGUAGGUGGUUUUUUUAAGUCAGAUGUGAAAUCCCUGGGCUUAACCUAGGAACUGCAUUUUGAAACUGAAAUACUAGAGUAUCGUAGAGGGAGGUAGAAUUCUAGGUGUAGCGGUGAAAUGCGUAGAUAUCUGGAGGAAUACCUGUGGCGAAAGCGGCCUCCUAAACGAAUACUGACACUGAGGUGCGAAAGCGUGGGGAGCAAACAGGGAUUAGAUACC
rnacentral:rRNA from 1 species